rnacentral:rRNA from 1 species
UGGGGAAUUUUGGACAAUGGGGGAAACCCUGAUCCAGCCAUCCCGCGUGUGCGAUGAAGGCCUUCGGGUUGUAAAGCACUUUUGGCAGGAAAGAAACGUCGCGGGUUAAUACCCCGCGAAACUGACGGUACCUGCAGAAUAAGCACCGGCUAACUACGUGCCAGCAGCCGCGGUAAUACGUAGGGUGCAAGCGUUAAUCGGAAUUACUGGGCGUAAAGCGUGCGCAGGCGGUUCGGAAAGAAAGAUGUGAAAUCCCAGAGCUUAACUUUGGAACUGCAUUUUUAACUACCGGACUAGAGUGUGUCAGAGGGAGGUGGAAUUCCGCGUGUAGCAGUGAAAUGCGUAGAUAUGCGGAGGAACACCGAUGGCGAAGGCAGCCUCCUGGGAUAACACUGACGCUCAUGCACGAAAGCGUGGGGAGCAAACAGGAUUAGAUACCCUGGUAGUCCACGCCCUAAACGAUGUCAACUAGCUGUUGGGGCCUUCGGGCCUUGGUAGCGCAGCUAACGCGUGAAGUUGACCGCCUGGGGAGUACGGUCGCAAGAUUAAAACUUAAAUGAAUUGACGGGGUAUAGCUG